AAAAGCCGGAUGCGGGAAAUCGGCACGUCCGGUUUGACGAGGGGCAGGGGUGCACUCCCUGUUCCAC
rnacentral:misc_RNA from 1 species